rnacentral:rRNA from 1 species
AUUGAACGCUGGCGGCAUGCUUUACACAUGCAAGUCGAACGGCAGCGCGGGCUUCGGCCUGGCGGCGAGUGGCGAACGGGUGAGUAAUGCAUCGGAACGUGCCCAGUAGUGGGGGAUAGCCCGGCGAAAGCCGGAUUAAUACCGCAUACGACCUGAGGGUGAAAGCGGGGGACCGAAAGGCCUCGCGCUAUUUGAGCGGCCGAUGUCGGAUUAGCUAGUUGGUGGGGUAAAGGCUUACCAAGGCGACGAUCCGUAGCUGGUCUGAGAGGACGACCAGCCACACUGGGACUGAGACACGGCCCAGACUCCUACGGGAGGCAGCAGUGGGGAAUGUUGGACAAUGGGGGCAACCCUGAUCCAGCCAUGCCGCGUGCGGGAAGAAGGCCUUCGGGUUGUAAACCGCUUUUGUUCGGGAAGAAAUCCUCUGGGCUAAUACCCCGGGGGGAUGACGGUACCGGAAGAAUAAGCACCGGCUAACUACGUG